rnacentral:rRNA from 1 species
CAAGGUCGAGCGGUAACAGAGAUAAGCUUGCUUCUCUGCUGACGAGCGGCACACGGGAGAGUAAUACUUGAAAAUUUGCCUUUAUGCGGGAGACAACCACGGGAAACUGUGGAUAAUACCGCAUAAUGUCUACGGACCAAAGUGGGAGACCCUCAGCCCUCACACCUAAAUAUGAGCCCAAGCGGGAUUAGCUAGUUGGUGGGGUAAAGGCUCACCAAGGCGACGAUCCCUAGCUGUUCUGAGAGGAUGAUCAGCCACACUGGGACUGAGACACGGCCCAAACUCCUACGGGAGGCAGCAGUGGGGAAUAUUGCACAAGGGGGGAAACCCUGAUGCACCCAUGCCGCGUGUGUGAAAAAGGCCUUCGGGUUGUAAAGCACUUUCAGCGACAAGGAAGGGUGUUGUGUUAAUAGCGCAGCACAUUGACGUUAGUCGCAGAAGAAGCACCGGCUAACUCCGUGCCAGCAGCCGCGGUAAUACGGAGGGUGCAAGCGUUAAUCGAAAUUACUGGGCGUAAAGCGUACGUAGGCGGCUUGUUAAGCAAGAUGUGAAAGCCCCGGGCUCAACCUGGGAAUUGCAUUUUGAACUGGCAUGCUAAAGUCCUGAAAAGG